rnacentral:piRNA from 1 species
UUUUGUAUUUGAGGUAACAAU